GGUUCUGGCAUCGAUGAAGAACGCAGCGAAAUGCGAUAAGUAAUGUGAAUUGCAGAAUUCAGUGAAUCAUCGAAUCUUUGAACGCACAUUGCGCCCAUUAGUAUUCUAGUGGGCAUGCCUGUUCGAGCGUCAUUUCAACCCUCAAGCCCCAGUUGCUUGGUGUU
rnacentral:rRNA from 1 species